UUCAGGGAUUGUUUAAAUUGAUAAUGAAACCAGGAAUCAAGCGAAAAAGUUUUUCCGAGAAGACAUAAAAAUAUGUUCCAAACGAGAUUCCAUUACAAAGAUUAAAUACUAAAAUAGAUGGUAUAGUAUAAUGGUGCUCACGUCGUAACAACAUGCAAACAAUUGUCGUAGUAUCCAUGUUAUUGAUUUUGCUUCUCCAAAACAUCGCGUACAUAAAACUAUGAUGAUAUUAUGAUUGAUGGAAGAUUUAUUCAGAUUCUACGUACUUCAAUCUUGGAGAGAAGAAGAAAUUAAAUCAUGGUGUUUGCUAUGAUGACAACAAAACGGACUCUAUAUAAUUUUGGUUUUAUAUUGUGUAGUAGGAGAUACUCCUCAACCUUACCGAUGUAGUUGCU